CGUCAUCGCGGAAAUCGGACUGACCGCGGUGCCGCUCCCAGUUUCAAAGGCGUGUCUGCUGCGGCUUGCCGGACUCGAACAGGGGACCAGGCCGCCACUUCCCAUCCGCGCCCCCGUUUCUCUCCAGCCCCCAGCGACGCGCCACCGCCGGAGGCACGAGCCGCGCCGCAGCUCUUGAUCCGGGGACAGCAGCGUCCCUCGCGCUCCCGAACCUCACCUGCCCCUCCCCGCGAGAUCGCGAUCUGAUCCCGCCGCAGCGCAGCAGCAGCCAGAUCCGCCCGCCCCACCCAGCCACCAGUCUCGCGGGCGGAGGGUGGACGAGGUGCAGGAUGUCGUCGGCCACGGUGGAGGAGCAGAUGGUGGUGAAGGCGAUCCGGGAGGAGUGCCCCUGGGAGUCGCUCCCCAAGCGCCUCCAGUCCACGCUCCAGACCAAGGAGGAGUGGCACCGCAGGAUUGUGGAUUUUUGUAUCCGAAAACGCUUGCAAUGGAAUACCUGCUUUGCCCGUAGAGUAUGCAGAGAAGGGGAAUACUAUGAAGAAAUGAUGCGCUACCUCCGGAGAAAUCUUGCAUUAUACCCGUACCACCUUGCAGACUAUAUAUGCCGAGUAUCAAGGAUCUCACCAUUCAGAUAUUAUUGUGACAUCCUUUUUGAAGCAAUGAAGAAUGAACAACCAUAUGAUAGUAUUCCAAACUUCACUGCUGCUGAUGCACUAAGGCUUACGGGUGUUGGGAGAAACGAGUUUAUUGAUAUCAUGAACAAAUGCAGAUCAAAGAAACUAAUGUGGAAGCUGAACAAAUCAAUUGCCAAAGAGAUGCUGCCUACACAGCCUGUUGACUUCCCAGUUGAGCCUUGGUGGGGGGUUUGUCUUGUUAACUUUACACUGGAAGAGUUUAAGAAACUUUCAGAAGAAGAGACAGCAACAAUAGACAAAAUAUGUAAAGAGGAAGCCAAUUCAUAUGUUCUUUUUGAUCCGAAGGUUAUUGAUGGCUUUUAUAAAAGAGGGCUAGUGUACUUUGAUGUCCCUGUUUUCCCAGAUGACCGUUUCAAAGUUUCCAGGCUUGAAAAUUUUGUUUCUAACAAGGAUCAAUCAUAUGAAGACCCAAUUGAAGAGCUAUUGUAUGCUGUAUUUGUUGUAUCAAGUGCUAAUGCUACUGUUGCUGAACUGGCUGCAACCUUACAAGCUGACCUUUAUCAGCUGCAGGCAGCUGCAUCAUUUGCUUGUCGAUUGGGGUGGGCUGUAAAACUAGUGGAUGCAGAUUCUGUUCUUAAUGAUGAAGGUGCGCCUGCAUUUCCUGGUAGUAUUCUUAGUGAUGACGAAGAAGGUUCAAAUACAAGUAUCAACUCAGAAAAGUCUGGUCAACAACUUACUAGCAUGGAUUCUGAUGGGCCCAGGAAAAUAUCUGGAACUGCUCAUGUGGGCUUUGUUGUUGAUGCGAAUGUUACUUCAUACUUGAUGAUGGGCUCACUGUCCCCAGGUUUAAAAUCUCAUGCUGUCACACUCUAUGAGGCUGGAAAACUAGGUGAUUCUUGCAUUGCAGAACUUUGUAGUGAUCUUGCCAGUUUAGAGGGAAAGAAAUUUGAAGGUGUCCUAGAGGAGUUUGCAAAUCAUGCAUUCAGUCUGCGAUACUUCUUGGAGUGUCUACAAUCUGGUGGAGUUUCUUCAAAUGAAAUUAGUAAUGAUGCUGGUGAAGCAAAAACUCCAAGAAGCUCUUUUCAUGACAUUGAAAAUGCUACUAGCCAAUUGGCCAAAGUAAACAUGGAGGGUGUUGCUGACGAUAACCAUGAUGAAUUGCCGCAGCAUAACCAGGUGACAUGUAAUUUAGAUGAUAGUGAUGAGAAUAUAAUGUCACCAACUGUGGCUAAAUCAGAACUAGAUGUUUCAAGUGACACACAAGUGUUGAAGAACAAAAGGAAGUAUAAAGUUGAUAUUCUUCGAUGUGAGAGCUUAGCCUCACUUGCCCCAGCUACAUUGGAACGGCUGUUUCUCCGGGACUAUGACAUUAUUGUUUCAAUGGUUCCUCUUCCUUCUUCGUCAGUUCUUCCAGGUCCUUCAGGCCCAAUUCAUUUUGGUCCACCUUCUUAUUCCUCCAUGACACCUUGGAUGAAGCUUGUAUUGUAUACAGCAGGGAAUUGUGGACCGGUAUCUGCUGUUUUCAUGAAAGGACUACGUUUUAGACUGCUACCUGAACCAUUAGCUGGUUGUGAAAAGGCACUAAUAUGGUCUUGGGAUGGUUCUGUGGUGGGUGGACUAGGAGGGAAGUUUGAGGGGAACUUGGUGAAGGGCAACCUAUUGUUACACUGCUUGAACUCAAUGCUUAAACAAUCUGCUGUGCUGGCGCAACCACUUAGUGUUAAUGAUCUUGACACAUCAGGAAACCUUGUCACUGUAGAGAUCCCUUUACCUCUGAAGAAUGAUGAUCAAUCAAUUGCAUGUGUGAUAGAUCAAACUAAUUUGCCAAAGGAUCAGAUCUUAAACUUGACAUCUGUAUUGAAAGAUCUAUCCAGUAAAUUUAAUCUGAGCACACUUGGCUACCUUCGUUUAGUAAGACUUCACAGGAUUGAUGAAUCAGACAAAAUUGACCCAGAAAAUGUAAGUUAUCAGUGGGUGCCUUUGAGCUUAGAGUUCGGAAUUCCCUUAUUCAAUCCAAGGUUGUGCAAGAGGAUUUGUGAAAGGGUGGUUUCAUCCCAUAUGCUUCAGAAGAAUGACCUCAAUGAGCAUUGUGACGUGAUGCAAAAUGUUAGAAUGCGUCUGAGAGACCUUUGUAGUGAAUAUCAAGCAACUGGGCCAAUAGCAAAAUUAUUUAACAAGCGUGGAAGCUCAAGGGACUUACCACGCGUCUUAAUCAACAAUAUUAGUGGGAGAUGGAAUCCCAAUAAUGACCCUUCAACACCUACGGGAGGAGUCCCAAGUGAAAGCGAGAGGCUGAGAUUUUCUGGACGGCAGAGAUGUCGCACAGAAGUUGUGAGCUUUGAUGGGAGCACUGUCAGGUCAUAUGCACUUGCUCCUGAGCUCAAUGAGGCUGCCAGCAGACCUACCUCUGAAGAACAACCAUCCUUACAUGAUACAAAAUCAGAUGCAGAGGACACAGACAGCAAGAAUGUAGUCUUACCAGGUUUAAAUCUUAUAUUUGAUGGAGCUGAAUUACAUCCCUUUGAUGUUGCUGCUUGCCUUCAAGCACGCCAACCUCUCCAGCUUAUAGCUGAGGCAUCAGCGGCCUCGUCAGUAUUGCUAUGAUGUGUCCAUAGCUCCACUGUAGGCAUUGUGAUUCCAAUAUCUCCAAGUUGAUCGAUAAGAAUAUGUAGAGGGCGGCUGCUUUAUGCACUAUGACCAAGCGCUUUUACGGGAAUUGGUCGAUGGUGCUCAUCAACUGGGGAUGCAAUUUUUGAAGCUAUCAACUCACAUCAUAUGUUUCUGGGCCAAUAUACUGCUCUACUUUUCACGUGUGUGAAAUUUAUUCGCGGAUGGUGCUACUCCAAGAUUCUUUGCUCUUUACUUGAGGCGUGUUUAUAGUUACUAGUUAGGAAAGGCCGCAGAUUUCUGCAGUGUGAAAAAUAAGUUGUGAUGUAGUUUGUUGUAUGCUAGCACAGCUUCUUCAUUGUAGUAAAUACGGCCGAUGGGUCCCAAGGUUUGAUCAUCAUGUCAAUUUUUUCAUGGACUCGUUAGCUCGGCUUCCCUGGAUUUUCUUCAGAAGGGAAAUGCUUGCAAAGGAGCAUGCACGUACGCAUUUUGCACCUGCUGUAGUGGCGUUGCAAAUAAGGAUAUACUCUUUUCGUCCCAAAAUACAGAUUAUUUAGAAAUUCUGUAACAGAUUAAUAAGGGAAAAAAUAAUCAUAUUUACUUCUAUUUGUUACCGAUA